UCUUAAUAGCAGAAUCAUUCUAAGACUUCUCUGAUUCAUUUUAUAUUUUGCAGAUUACAGUUUUGGAGUCAUCAGUAGGAGAGAACCCAGCAAACUGACAGACUUGAAAUCAUGUCCUUUGAUUGUAAUUGACAGGGAAAGCAUUUAAGGGAAGACCAUGUUAAGGGGUGGAUUUUAUACUUUGAUCUGAAGAAGCUGGGAUUCCCAGAAGAGCUCAUCUCUUUGAGGAUGGAGACACAUUGUGGGUGAGUGGUCAGGAAAGCUCUGCCUUCCAUAGUCCUAACUUCAGUUUUUAUCUUUGACUCGAGAGCUCAGUGGACUGGAGAUCUCUUGGGAGGUCAUCCAUAGU
rnacentral:lncRNA from 1 species